CAGAAAUAUCAGCCUAGUUUAAAAGGCAAAAAUGAUUGAAACUCUGCAUUAGGAAUGGAAAGUCAUUCAUAACUCUACAUCAUAUGAUUAAAAGCUGAGCUAGACUAUUUAUAGCUAAGCACUGUCAAGAGCAAUAUGUGUUGAUGAGAGAACCUGACUGUUAGUACAUUCCUAGAUUAGGUGCAUGUUAAUAUGGCCCGGAUAAAGAAACAAAAGGAAUGAAGAGUGAAGAUAAUACUUAGAAGCUGGGGAAAAUGUUGAGAUUGAUUAGAUAAACAAAAUUGAAAAUCAAAGGGAAAAGGAGCUAAAGUAGAUAAAAUCUUAACUUGCCACCUAUUUGUAAAGCAAUUCUGCUUUCUAAAUGCAGAUCAUAAUGCUUUUAAAAUUUACUUCUAAUAAUCGAUGUCAAUAAUAAUCCUAGUAGUAAUAAUGAUAAUUAAUACUUUAUAAGGGUAGUUAAUUAAUUAUAAUAAAUUAAAAACUGUUAAAUAACAAUGAGUACAUGAGAGUGUAUAUUUCCUGAAGGCGUUUUGGUAAACAAAGGAAAGGAAAAUGUUAGAAUUCUGCUGACCAGAUGCAGAACUACAGCUGAAAUAUCCUUCUGGGAGAAGGAUGUUUUGGAUAGGUAUUUAUCUCCUAUUCAAAUACCUUUGUGUUUCAGGAUGCAUUCAGAACUUGGGUGCUGCCUUGUGCUAGUUCUACAUCGAAACUUCCUUUUGGGAGAAACAGGUCUGCAUUUGAGAUUUUGCCUGCAGUGAGAAAGAACAUUUUGCUCUUUUGCUCAUCGUUUUCUGUAUCAUUUCAGCAGGACCACGAAGAUGAUUGUCCUCUUGCACUCACCCUGGUGAGGCCACACUUUGAACGUUGUGAACUUGUGUUCAGUUUUGGGGCCCUCAAUACAAGAAAGACACUGAGGUCCUGGAGUGUGUCCAGAGAUGGGGCAGUGAAGCUGGUGAGGGGUCUGCAGCACAAGACUUAUGAGGAGCAGUUGAGGAAACUGGAAUUGUUCAGUCUAGAGAAGAGGAGGUUCAGGGGAGACCUUAUAACUCUCUACAACAACCUGAAAGGAGGUUGUGGUGAGGUGGGAAUUGGCCUCUUCUCCUGCAUAACUAGCAACAGGAUGAGAGGGAGUGGCCUCAAGUUGCUCCAGGAGAGGUUCAGGCUGAGUGUUAGGAACAAUUUAUUCUUUGAAAAAGUUGUGAGGUGUUAGAAUGGGCUGCCCAGGGAAAGGGUGGAGUCACCAUCCCCAGAGGUGUUCAGUGAAUGUUUUAAUGUUGUGCUAAGGGACAUGGUUUAGUGGGAAAAUAUUGGUGGUAGGUGGAUGGUUGGACUAGAUGAUCCUAGAGGUUUUUUUCCAAACUUGGUGAUUCUAUGAUUCUUUGAUUCUAUAAUUUAUGAAGACUUCAC
rnacentral:lncRNA from 1 species